rnacentral:rRNA from 1 species
CCUACGGGAGGCAGCAGUAAGGAAUAUUGGUCAAUGGACGCAAGUCUGGACCAGCCAUGCCGCGUGAAGGAUGAAGGUCCUCUGGAUUGUAAACUUCUUUUAUAGGGGACGAAAAAAGAGAAUUCUUUCUCACUUGACGGUACCCUAGGAAUAAGCACCGGCUAACUCCGUGCCAGCAGCCGCGGUAAUACGGAGGGUGCAAGCGUUAUCCGGAUUUACUGGGUUUAAAGGGUGCGUAGGUGGGUCUGUAAGUCAGUGGUGAAAUCUCCGGGCUUAACCCGGAAACUGCCAUUGAUACUAUAGAUCUUGAAUACUCUGGAGGUAAGCGGAAUAUGUCAUGUAGCGGUGAAAUGCUUAGAUAUGACAUAGAACACCAAUUGCGAAGGCAGCUUACUACGGGGUUAUUGACACUGAGGCACGAAAGCGUGGGGAUCAAACAGGAUUAGAUACCCUGGUAGUCCACGCCCUAAACGAUGGAUACUCGACAUCAGCGAUACACUGUUGGUGUCUGNGNGAGANAUAUAUCCACCNGAGAGANGCAGAUGAAGUAAGAAGUAGAGNGNGAGAGNGCGACGACGACGACGAGGAGAGG